AUGGGCUCCAGCCUCCUCUGCUGUGUGGCUCUGUGUCUCCUGGCACCAGGUACAGUGGAUUCUGGAGUCACCCAAACACCAAGAUACCUGAUUAAAGCAAGAGGACACCAAGUGAUACUGAGGUGUUCCCCUAUGUCUGGGCACCGCAAUGCCAACAGGCCCUGGGUCAGGGCCCCUAGUUCCUCUUUGAGUUUUAUGAAAAUAUGCAGAGAGGAAAAGGAAACUUCCCGGGUCAAUUCUCAGCACAACACUUCCGUGAUGCUCGCUCUGAGCUGAACGUGAGCUCCUUGGAGCUGAGGGACUUGGCCCUGUACCUGUGUGCCAGCAGCUUAGCACAGCCCUGCUGA